AAAAACUUGAGCGGGAGCUUUCCCGGUUCCUUAAAAAAAUAUCAUUAGAUUGUUCAUCCCCAAAAAUUAAAAGAACCCUACGCUGUUCCAUUGCGGUUCCUUCUGAGCUUCUUCACUCGCGAACUCCUCUGUUCAUCCUAAUUCCUCCAAUUGGUGAUCGUUUGUUCAGAUUAUCUGAGUGAGGUUUCUUGGACUGGAUUCAGGGCAUCAAUUUCAGGGAAAUUAGCAGCAAAUCAGAGAGAAGGAUGAACAAGUUUCCUUGAAGAAGAAGGAUAACAGACGAUUUCCAGGGGCUUAGCAGCGAGGCGACUCGUGAUUGGGCAAAACUAAUAGUAGCAAUGAUAUGUGGAGGAGAUCCUUACGUGAAGCUUGAGUUGGAAUGAUAUGGACUAACAUUGCGGGUUAUGACAUUUUCUACAAUGUGGAAGAACUACAAUAGUUAUGGUUUUUUUUAGCUUGUGAAACUUUUGACAUAUUCUCUAGACUUUUUUAUCGUAUUGAACCGUUAGCUAAGAUUUUAGAUACUUUUGUUAUUGGUACUUGUGUUUGGACAUCUAUGUACUUAUGAAUUAUGUUUUAUCACGAUAUUCGGAGUGAGUGGUAUAUGGUUUACAGGUAAA